rnacentral:lncRNA from 1 species
AAUGCUACCAGUGCCAACGAUGUGGAAAAAGUGCGGUAGCUGCUGGAAAAUGGCACGGAUCCCUGUGCAGCUGACAAGGGCCACACAGCUCUACACUCUGUCUCCUGCAAUGGUAAUGACCACAUUCUGGCCUGUACCAACCACAACUCUGUCAUCACCAUACUGCUGCGACGAGGGGCCUGGUGGAUGCCCUGGACCAAGCUGGCCAUAUGCCUCCAUACCUGGCCAAGUCGAAGCUGAACAUCCUGCAGGAGGACCACUCCCAGUGCCUGGAAGCUGUGUGACUGGAGGUGAAGCAGAUCAUCCCAAUGCUCAAGAAGUACCCGGUGCACCUAUGGUGACGUGAACAACUGGAAUGGCUGGACCACCUCUGCACCCACCUCCAGAUGACCAGUACCAAAGAGCAGGUGGAUAAAGUGCCCGACCUCCCAGCCAGCUCCACCUCCCUCAGUCUUUGGAUACAGAGCAUGG